GGUAGGGCACGGUGUCCACACGGCUCUGGAUGUAAGCGCUUCGCAGGAGGCUGGAGCAGUGGCUGCUCACCCUCUCCAGUCGCCGCAGGAUCAGGUGGGCCUUCCUGAAAGGGAGGACGAGAUAGUGAUUAAGAGCCAAAUGUAGCUGAGAGGAUCGAGAAGCCCAAGAGUGGUCAAGGGUGUUCUGACUGAAGGCAAUUCUGGUCCUUAGCCACCUAUGAGCUCAGUUCCUCACGUCUCCUAAUAGGAACUGUAUGGUUGGGACAGCGGCUGUCAGCAGGUCUUCUCUGAGCAGCUGUUUGCGACACCUGUGGCUGCCACGGGAACCAGGAUCUGGAGGCCACUGGCCUGAUAGACUUCCUAGGCAGAGGGGAAAGAACAGUGGCCAAGGGUCCUGAACCAAACAAAACGAACACACACUCAUACCCGAGUACGCAUCUUCAGGACUGGAAUACGGCGCUGCCCAUCUCUAUCCACCCACCGACAUCUGGUGCUCAGACAUCUAAAUCACGCGAUGCCUCGGCAAGUACUUGCCAGAAUGAAUGACAUACUGAAUGAAUGACUCAAUCGACUAGGAAGUCGUAGCUUCCCUGUCUGGAAAUCAGCUUCCCCGUCUGUGAAAUGAACAAAAGGGGGUUUGGUUGAAAGGUCAUUAUAAGAGAUAGAAUGACAGAAUGGCUGAACACAUGAGCCUGGAAUGAGGCUGUUCGGUUUUAAAUUCUGGCUCCCCAUUUAUUGCCUGUGUGAGGCCUUGUGUCGAUGUACUCACCUGUGAAAUAGGAAUCAUGAUAUUAAAACCCACUGUAUAGCGUAGCUGCCAGAGUAAAAAGCGACGUGGGGAAGUGCUCACUAUGCUGCCUGGCAUGUGCUGACGCUCAGCUAGGGACAGUUGCGGUGUCAUCAUCAAUAGUUAUCAUGAGACUGCACGAGGCUCUGAGCACCCCCCUCCCCCGUCUCCCCCAGACAUCCAGAAGAAGUCGUCCUAGUGGAAAUCAGAGGAGAGUGGGUGGAGAGGAAGCUGUUGUUGGUCCCAUCCAAGACCCCUAGACCCCCUCGCAGCGGGGGUGAGAGAAUGAAACCGAGAAGUUAAUUGGCGGUGAGAGCUUCUCACGGAUCUGACAGGGGGUAAGAGCGGGGAUGGAGCCCCAGAGGCCCACAUCAGGACCAGGUCCCCGAGAGUACGGGAGAAUGCGUUUGAAGUCUCCAGGCCAACGCCUGCUCUUCCCCAGCCGCCACAUGAUUUAGGCAUUCUGGGGAGGCAAAAGUCUCCUCGCUGAUUUGAAGGGAAACAGAUGUUUCCAGGCCAGAGGCCCUGGUCUUGUAAAAUGCUCCUUCCCCCCACACAGCUUUGGCAAACAACUUCCCAGUUAGUUUAAACCCCACCCCCCACUCCUACCCCCACCCCACUGCCCCACACCCAACCU